AAAAAGUGUAUUUUUAUAUUGUUUAUGUUCAACAUUUGACCAUCCUUCUUAUUUUAAAAAGUUUUAUGAUGAUUGUUAUUAAUUGAUAAAACAUGAAUAUUAUUUCAUGUGUUACUAUUAUUUUAAAUAUUUUCAUAAAUUUUUUAAAUAAGAUUAACGGUCAAACGUUGGAUAUGGAAUUUCACAAAUAUAGUUAAA
rnacentral:pre_miRNA from 1 species